AAGCAGCUUAGUUCGGAUUGUAGGCUGCAACUCGCCUACAUGAAGUCGGAAUUGCUAGUAAUCGCGGAUCAGCAUGCCGCGGUGAAUACGUUCCCGGGCCUUGUACACACCGCCCGUCACACCAUGGGAGUUGGAAAUACCCGAAGCCUGUGAGCUAACAGUAAUGAGGCAGCAGUCGAAGGUAGAGCCAAUGAUUGGGGUGAAGUCGUAACAAGGUACC
rnacentral:rRNA from 1 species